UACCCAUUAUUGGCAAAACUUGGAAGCAACCAAAAUAUCCUUCAGUUUCUGAAUGGAUAAACAAAUUGUGACACAUCCAUACAGUGGAACACCAUUCACUGAACAGAGCAUCUAAGAUGGGACAAUAUCAGAGGCUGUAACAUAAAUAAAUUUAUAAAUUAUAAAUUCUUUGUGGGAGUCUCACAAAGAAACAGAACAAGGACAGGGAAAAACAAAUGUUUGGAUAGACAAUGGCCAAGAAUUUUUUUAAAUGAAAGAGAUCAAACCAUACAUCCAAAAAGAAGCUCAGACAAUCCCCAGGUAAGCUAAAUACCAUGAUGAUGUUGAUGGUGAUAGGAAGAAAAUAUGCCUGUAUACAUCAUAGUCAAACUUCUAGAAACCAAACAUGAAAAAAUCUUGAAGGCAGUCAGAAAUUUAAAAAGAAAAAAGAAACAUUACAUACAGAAGAACAAAGAUAAGAAUUUUUGCCAGAAAUAAGGGGAGCCUGAAGACACUGAGCAACAUUUUUUUAGUUUUUUUUAAAUUCAGGCGCUAUGCUCCUCUUCACUGUAUUGUUCCAAGUUAUAAUUAUUAUAUGUGCUGCUCAAGCGAGCACAGAGCAAUAUUUCUUAAGUCCUUAAAAUAAAGGCAACCAAAACUAUACCCAGCAAAAAUAUCUUUCAAAAAUUAAAACGAAAUAAAGACCUUUUCAGAACAGAAGCUGAGAAUUUGUUGCUGACAUACCUAUGCUACAAAAAAUGUGAAAGGACAAAAACAAAGUGGGCUAGAGUGUUUUCUUUUUUAAAGUAAAUAUAAAAAUAUAAUUUUUAAUUUUUUAAUUACUUUAAGAGAUAAUUGACUGUCUAAACAGGGGCCCACAAAAAUUUUUUUUGUUUUUACUCUCUAAGUAGUUUAUUUCCACCUUCACAAACUCAUGUGCCUUUGGCCAUUGUGCAAGGCACCAUGAAUUAAAUACUUAUAUCAGAAUAUGUUUGUCUUACAUGAUUCAAGAUAAAGUGGAUUUUAAAAGCAAAUGGGUGCCAAUGAUGGGGAGGUGAGGGGAAUAGGGCAGGCAGCAAUAGGGUAAUAUGGAACAGCAUUUUUCUGUAAAGAGCCAAAUAGUAAAUAUUUUAGGCUUAAAGGGUCAGUCUCUGUCACAGCUAUGUAACUCCACCUUUGCCUUACCUGACAUUAGGUCUCUGUUGACACCACUCACCUCUGCUAUUGCAAGUGUAAAAACCACCACAGACACAAUACAGACAAUCUGUAACAAAUACAUGUGGCUGUGUUCCCGUAAAACUUUAUAUGCAAAAGCAGGAAGUGUACUGGAUUUGGCCUGUGGGCCACAGUUUGCCAGUCUCGAUCUAGUCCAUCAUCUCUUGCAUAUCCCUACAUCAGUGUUUCCCAAACUAUGCCCUUCAAGAUGUAUUAAUGGGUCUACUAAAAAGCAAACAAACAAAAAGUUUGUUUUUGUUCCACGGUCCAGCAGAUUUGGGGACUGCUCUAUAAACAUUAUAUUCCACUCUUGGAAAUUCACAAUGCUAAUGAACACAAAUGGAAAGAGGCUCAAGAUGGGCCAGUGUUCAUCAUUUCUCCUUCAGACUGUCCAAGCACCUGCCUUUCUCUUACCAAAUCAAGAUGUAUCAGUGAGGUAUAUCAGAAUUUGCUGUAUUUACUUCUGCAAGACAACCCAGUUCUCCUGUGAAAGGAAUUCUUUGUAGACUCUUCUGUCUGUGAUGUUUUUGGCAGAAAGUGGUCAAUGUUAUGUCUGGUGCCUUUUCUAAAUUUUACCACUGAUUAAAAGGCGAGUUUAGUAUUU